GUUGUUGAUGUGACCGCGUGUCCACAACCCUGGGAUUCCCUCGCCCUCAGAUUCCAGAAUCCAAUUUCUUGGAUUUCAGUGUUUUUAAGGUGGGAGGUCUCGCUAUGCUUCCCAGGCUGGACUCAAAUUCCUGGGCUCAAGUGAUUCCCCCGCCUCAGCCUCCUGAGUAGCUGGGACUACAGAUAUGGCAUGUCAGUCUGGUGGUCUAGCCAGAGGAAGACUCCUGGAGCUGGUGAACUGUGCAUGGAUAUGCAGUCACGGGCAGCCCACCUCCUACUCCUCACCCUCCCUGUGCCUGUGAGGGUCUGCACUCACCCUCCCAAGAUUCAGAAUCCACUGGCCUUGAGUUCGCCCUGUCCUGGGGACAGUGGGACCUGUCACCUGCUGGCCAAG
ensembl:lncRNA EPCAM-DT EPCAM divergent transcript